GAUGAACGCUAGCGGCGUGCCUAACACAUGCAAGUCGAACGUGAGAGGGUACAUGUAUCCUUGAAAGUGGCGGACGGGUGAGUAAGACGUAGGUGACCUGCCUCGGAGUGGGGGAUAACCAUUGGAAACGAUGGCUAAUACCGCAUAAGUUGAGAGCGAUGGGAAUGGCUAACAACAAAGCUCAGGCGCUUUGAGAGGGGCCUACGGCCGAUUAGUUAGUUGGUGAGGUAAAGGCUCACCAAGGCGAUGAUCGGUAGCUGGUCUGAGAGGACGAUCAGCCACACGGGAACUGAGACACGGUCCCGACUCCUACGGGGGCAGCAGUGAGGAAUAUUCGGCAAUGGGGGCAACCCUGACCGAGCAACGCCGCGUGGAGGAAGACGG
rnacentral:rRNA from 1 species